AAGUCUGACGCAGCCAUGCCGCGUGAGUGAGGAAGGCCUUCGGGUUGUAAAGCUCUGUCAUUCGGGAAAAAUAGCCAUUCGGGGAAAGUUCGAGUGGUUUGAUGGUACCGAAGGAGGAAGCACCGGCAAACUCUGUGCCAGCAGCCGCGGUAAUACAGAGGGUGCAAGCGUUGUUCGGAAUUACUGGGCGUAAAGCGAGCGUAGUCGGUAUUGAGAGUCACGGGUGAAAUCCCCACGCUUAACGUGGGAACUGCCUGUGAGACCUCAGUACUAGAGUGUGAGAGGGGAUAGUGGAAUACCAAGUGUAGCGGUGAAAUGCGUAGAGAUUUGGUGGAACACCGGUGGCGAAGGCGGCUAUCUGGCUCACAACUGACGAUCAGGCUCGAAAGCGUGGGGAGCAAACAGGAUUAGAUACCCUGGUAGUCCACGCCGUAAACUAUGCACACAAGAUGUAGUAGGGUUUUACUCCUGCUGUGUCGAAGCUAACGUAAUUAGUGUGCCGCCUGGGGAGUACGGUCGCAAGACUAAAACUCAAAGGAAUUGACGG
rnacentral:rRNA from 1 species